ACAGUAGCAGAAACUGAGAUACGAACGAUUCUGGUAGGAAAGGUAAAAAUGACACCAUUUCCCAUACCUGAAGCCACAGAAACAGUCUCCCUUAAACAAUAUCGAAUUCCGGGGGGGACAAGAAGAGAUCACUGCUACCAUCAAAGAAUAUUUGGAAGCAGGUGUGCUGAAGCCGGUGACCACAAAGUGGAACAACCCCUUGUGGCUGGUAAGGAAAUCAGACAAUACAUGGCGAAUGACCGUUGAUUACCGACAAUUGAACAACCGACCUGUGGGGUCAGGAGUGACUCCUUUGAUUCGAAUGAUUUCAAAUCAAGAACCUGUAAUGGUCACAGAAAGUAUUAAAAUGUGGAAAAUUGACCCAGAGGCUGAAAUUCCCGUCAGAGCCACGCCUGGCUCUGCCGGACUUGAUUUGCGAACUUUGGCACCUGUAACACUCCUCCCUCAUGAAAUUCAAAUUGUUAAAACAGGGUUGGGUCUGCAGUGCCCGAAAGGCACUUACGGUCACAUCCUUCCUCGGAGUGGCCUGUCACUGAAAGGCCUGACCAUCCAGGCAGGAGCGAUAGAUGCAGACUAUCAAGGAGAACUGGGAGUAGUGUGCAAACUACUCUCAGACCAACCCUUGGUUUUGGAAAAAAGGAGCUAAAAUAGCACAGAAAAGUGGGUAAAUGUACCCAUAAACAAAUGCUAUAUGCGAGAGAACUAAUCAUGUUUUUUUUGUUAUUUAGUGUUUAACCAAAUUUGUUACAGCUUGGAGAAUUAAUGCCUUGGUGGGAGUUGCUGAUCGGGAGACCUGCUAAAACCGGACGAGACCGUGGACCUCAUUGGGCGCCGCGACACUGGAGGUGUCGUCUGCUGGGUCAUCUGCCUCCUUGCCGUUGGUGCCAUGGUCCAGCCCUCCUGGGGGAUGACCGAGGGCUGAACCUGCAGGACAAGUCAAGAAGCUAGAUCUAUACAACUUGACGCCGAAUGCGACCCUAAUCAUCAGGGAUCAAACUGGACAAUAGUGGCGGAUGAAGACUUCAUCAUCGGAGACAGCGAACCUAUUGGGCACAAUGACCGUGGGUAUCCGGUGAAAGUGAUUCCUCAAAAGCUACCGCCGACCAUAACUUUGACACACUUGUCCCCCAUUUUGGAUACCUGCACACACCGUGCACAGGCAACAAUCGAAAC